CUUACCUAUCUUGACAUCCAGAGAAUCUAGCGGAGACGCUGGAGUGCCUUCGGGAGCUCUGAGACAGGUGCUGCAUGGCUGUCGUCAGCUCGUGUUGUGAAAUGUUGGGUUAAGUCCCGCAACGA
rnacentral:rRNA from 1 species